GCACAAGCGGUGGAGCAUGUGGUUUAAUUCGACGCAACGCGAAGAACCUUACCUGGGCUCGAAAUGUAGUGGAAUCCGGCAGAAACGUCGGCGUCUAGCAAUAGACCGCUAUAUAGGUGCUGCAUGGCUGUCGUCAGCUCGUGUCGUGAGAUGUUGGGUUAAGUCCCGCAACGAGCGCAACCCUUAUCUUCAGUUGCUACCAUUUAGUUGAGCACUCUGACGAAACCGCCUCGGAUAACGGGGAGGAAGGUGGGGAUGACGUCAAGUCCUCAUGGCCUUUAUGUCCAGGGCUACACACGUGCUACAAUGGCCGGUACAAACCGCUGCAAACCCGCGAGGGGGAGCUAAUCGGAAAAAGCCGGCCUCAGUUCGGAUUGGAGUCUGCAACUCGACUCCAUGAAGCUGGAAUCGCUAGUAAUCGUGGACCAGCAUGCCACGGUGAAUACGUUCCCGGGC
rnacentral:rRNA from 1 species